UCUGCAACUUUCCACGUAGCCUACUGACCUU
rnacentral:piRNA from 1 species